rnacentral:rRNA from 1 species
GCCAGUGACGAUACUACAUUGACCGCCACUAGUUCCUCCAUGGAUCACUGAAGUUAAGCAAACGAUGGGCGUGGUUAUUAUCCGGAUGGGUGACCAUCUGGGUAAUCGCGUGUUGUUUCUC